rnacentral:rRNA from 1 species
UUCGUAGGCGGUGGGGCAAGUUGGGAGUGAAAUCUCUAGGCUCAACCUAGAGGCUGCUUCCAAAACUGCUCUGCUUGAGUGUGAGAGAGGCGCGUGGAAUUGCAGGUGUAGCGGUGAAAUGCGUAGAUAUCUGCAGGAACACCCGUGGCGAAAGCGGCGCGCUGGAUCACUACUGACGCUGAGGAACGAAAGCUAGGGGAGCAAACA